ACCGUGUUUCAGUGGUAGAAUGGUAUAUUCUGAAUUCAUAGAUUGUAGGUUCGAUUCCUUCUGAGGAA